rnacentral:rRNA from 1 species
UGGGGAAUAUUGCACAAUGGGGGAAACCCUGAUGCAGCAACGCCGCGUGAGUGAUGACGGCCUUCGGGUUGUAAAGCUCUGUCUUCAGGGACGAUAAUGACGGUACCUGAGGAGGAAGCCACGGCUAACUACGUGCCAGCAGCCGCGGUAAUACGUAGGUGGCGAGCGUUGUCCGGAUUUACUGGGCGUAAAGGGAGCGUAGGCGGAUUUUUAAGUGAGAUGUGAAAUACUCGGGCUUAACCUGAGUGCUGCAUUUCAAACUGGAAGUCUAGAGUGCAGGAGAGGAGAAGGGAAUUCCUAGUGUAGCGGUGAAAUGCGUAGAGAUUAGGAAGAACACCAGUGGCGAAGGCGCUUCUCUGGACUGUAACUGACGCUGAGGCUCGAAAGCGUGGGGAGCAAACA